UAUUAUGAUCUGGAGUGUAGCCAUAUUUGUAACUACAAAACAAGGUAAUCAUCAUAUUUAGAUAACAUAGUUUGGAGAGAGAGUGAAAUUAACCAUUACCAUGAACCCAAGCUUAUAUUAUAGAUCUUUCCAAUUGGAAAAAACAAAGCAAAAAAAAUCUGAUAAGAAAGGCAAGUCAACAUGUGAAAGGAAUGGAUUAAAGCCCAGACCACGCUAGAGGAAGCAUCAGAGCAAAUGGCUGGAAAAGAAAGGGAA
rnacentral:lncRNA from 10 species